rnacentral:lncRNA from 1 species
GAGAGUGAGGAAGGGGGCGUGAUGAGCGGGGAAAGCCCCCUGGGUCCAGUGAGGAUCCCUGGCAUACCCCUGACACCUCCCCGACAAGGCCCUGCUGCUCAGCCCUCCAGGACGGAGUGAAAUCCCCUUGCCUCCUGCUGCAAAGGCAGAGGGAGGUGCACAGAGGAGGCUGGGUAGGGGGUGCCUGUCUUGGCAGAGGAAGACACACACACAGCCCCCUUGGGGCUCAGGGAGCUUUCCGCCCUCCUCUCUGGCAGAGGCAGCCUCCUUCUCCUCAGGGGGUUCCUUUCAAUGUUAAUGAGACUAAGAAGUUGGUAUUCAAAAUCUACUGUGUUCCUUCACGUAUUACAUGCCUCAAUUCGGCCUCAAGGGCCCAUCCCCGAGUCCAGCGGAAGGCUCAACUCCACCAUGCGCUACCACUCAAGGACACUGAGCCUUCUUUGUGGCUGUUGGGCUGGGGAGAAACACAGGAUGUAAGCAGUGGCCUCCUCUGCUACCACAUCCAGACCUAUGACAUAUGGUGCCCUAAACUUAUAUCAAACUCUGCUUCGGAUGGGAAACUGAAUCCUGGUCUUGUCUGGUUGUUGAUAAGAACCCCUGGCAGCUGGAGCCACAGAGAACAUGUCUUCAGAUAGAGAGCCGAUUUCCUUUGAGCAGUCUUUUCUCCAGAUUAAACAUACUUAAUUCCUUCCACAUGUCCUAUAUGACUAGUUACCAGACUUGUCACCAUCCUGGUCACCCUUGUCUGGACACUCUCCAGGGUGUCAACGUGCCUCUUGGGGUUUGACACAAUGCAGCAAGUGUGGUCUGCCCUUCUACUAAGGGAGUCUAAAU